CUCAAUCAGGAAGAGUCCUAGGUUUAGCUAGCUCCAGACAAAUUUUUCUCCCGAGCAGCCUCUCCCUCUUUUAACGUAACCCGCGCUAACUCUCUCGUAUCUCUCUUCUCUAUGCGCUCUCCGCUCCACUGUCCACUUCUCCUAUCUCCGAACAAGAAUAAUUCAAUGGAUUAUCAAUGCAGUGCUGCGGCCAUGGGAGGGCUACCUCUCUAGCCCUAGCUCCUGCUCCAUUCCAAACAGUUGGUCACCUUGAAGCUAAUUCACAAUAAUCGCCCGCCAAGUGGCUGCCCUGCUCUCCUCUUCUGCUCGAUUCAACUUCCAACUUUGAGUGAGAUUGCUUCCUAGUUCUAACAUGAACAUAGUCAAGCUGCUCGUGCCCACAGUCAAGCGAUUGAAUGAUGUCACAAAGUAUUGUCGAGCAUCGUGUUCUUCUUUCAUACAUUCAUCCCCAAACUUCUCAGCACAAGUUCAUUCUCCGGACCAGGAGGUAGUGAUUGCUUUGGGAAGCAAUGUGGGUGACAGACUGCAUAAUUUCAAUGAAGCCUUGCAGUUAAUGAGAAAAUCGGGCAUACACAUCACAAGACAUGCUUGCUUGUAUGAGACAGCGCCAGCCUAUGUGACUGAUCAGCCUAAUUUUCUCAACUCUGCUGUUAGAGCUGUUACACAACUUGGGCCUCAUGAGUUAUUAGGAGCACUGAAGAAAAUUGAAAAGGACAUGGGUCGUACUGAUGGUAUUAGGUAUGGUCCCAGGCCAAUCGACCUGGAUAUAUUGUUCUAUGGAAAGCAAAGAAUCAGUUCUGAGAUUCUUGUGGUCCCCCAUGAAAGAAUUUGGGAAAGACCAUUUGUAAUGGCCCCACUAAUGGAUUUGCUGGGUUCAAGUAUUGACAGCGAUACAGUUUCUUGUUGGCAUUCUUUCUCAAACCAUUCUGAUGGGCUUUUUGAUUCUUGGGAGAAAUUGGGCGGUGAACCACUCAUUGGAAAGGAAGGACUGAAGAGGGUUUUGCCUAUUGGAAACGGCUUUUGGGACUGGUCAACGAAAACCUCGGUAAUGGGUAUCCUUAAUUUGACCCCAGAUAGUUUUAGUGAUGGAGGAAAGUUUCAGUCUGUGGAGGCAGCAAUUUCUCAGGUCCGUUCAAUGAUUUCAGAGGGGGCAGAUAUGAUUGAUAUUGGCGCACAGUCUACACGGCCAAUGGCUUCUAGGAUUUCAGUUCAACAAGAACUGGAUAGACUAAUUCCUGUCUUAGAAGCAGUUCUUGGGCUGCCUGAAGCAGAGGGAAAGAUUGUAUCUGUGGACACAUUUUAUUCAGAAGUUGCGGAAGAAGCAGUCAGUAAGGGUGCUCAUAUUGUAAAUGAUGUAUCUGCCGGGCAGUUGGACUCUAACAUGUUAAAAGUCGUUGCUGACCUCAAAGUUCCUUACAUUGCAAUGCACAUGAGGGGAGAUCCAUCGACAAUGCAGAACAGUGAGAACCUGCAAUAUGAUAAUGUUUGUAAGCAGGUUGUGUCUGAGUUAUACUCGAAGGUGAGAGAAGCUGAAAUAUUAGGCAUCCCCGCUUGGAGGAUGAUAAUUGACCCUGGACUUGGAUUUUCAAAGAACCGUGAACACAAUUUGGAAAUCUUAAUGGGGUUACCAAAUAUUCAAGCAGAGAUUGGGAGGAAAAGUUUGGCUUUGUCUCAUGCGCCCAUACUAAUUGGACCUUCGAGAAAGAAAUUUUUAGGUGAAGUUUGUAAUCGCACUGCUGCAACUGAAAGAGAUGCUGCUACUGUUGCUUCUGUCACUGCCGCAGUCCUGGGCGGAGCAAAUAUUGUAAGAGUACAUAAUGUAAGAGAUAAUGUAGAUGCUGUAAAGCUAUGUGAUGCAAUGCUGAGACAGAGGAGAUCUAUUCCUCCAAGUUAUAAAAAAUGAUGACAACUCAGCCCAUGAAAAGCAUAAAAACGGAGAUUGGAGCAAAGCAUUUGGUAGCCGGGAAUAAUGCUCACGAAAAGAGAAUGGAUGAGUUAGCAUCUGUUUUCAGGUGCAAUGUAGGGAGGGCUUCCAAUGAAGUACCUAGGACUCUCAGUUUUACUUUGUCUUUGUUUCUGUGAACGACCGCAAAGGGUGCUAUUACAAUUUUCAGAGGAAAGGAUAAAUGAUAUUUAAGAAAGGCCCUGCCCAUGCCCAGGCCAGGAUAUUUGAAGCCUCCUCAUGGCAGAAGAAGUUACCGGAUGAAUCAUCUCUAAUCAAUUCACAUCCCCAGCCCCACCUCUCCAAUAAGAAAAGUAAACUGCUGGAACGUGAGCAACUUUCCAAUGAUCUUCCCCACUAUCAGGAAGUAGUGGCUGGAUUAAUUCAUCUGGCAUAUCCAAAAAUUCUAGCAACUUUUAAAUUUUUUAAAUGCUCAAUGCCUGAUCGGACCUUCUUCGACAAGUUGCAGCGCUGGAUUAUUCACUUUUCUAGACAAGGCAUUACUCCCUCAUCCGUGAUAAUCUUUUCCACUCCUAAUUUGUCAUACCUAAUACCUUUAGACUUGGAAACCCUCCUUCCUUAAAAUGCAAACAUUCCCCGUCAUAAACCUGAAGCAGUUCAAGAUGUACCAGAUUUGGCAAACCUUGUAGAUGUACUGGAGGAUCCUCCUUUAGCCGAUUCCAUUUCAAAAAGAGUCUCGCCAGGUUAUGAAGAGAAGAAAUCCAGUGUGGUAAGUUUUCUAAACGCCUUGUCAAAUAUAGUCACUGCAAUCCGGAAAACAGAAUCAAAGUUCGGGUCGUGUCUGCCAGGGCUUAUCGCUCAUUGUUCAUGCACAACAUGUAAGUAAACCUUUAGAGUUUUUAUGAACAAUUUGCUUUCUCUG